GUUGGAUCUAGGGCUUACCCGAAACCAGUAUGACUUCCUCUUAACUUACAUCUUAACUACAUCUGCAAAGACCUUAAUUUCAACAGGUCAUGGAGAUAAAAAGGACAGGAAAAGAAGACCGAAACGGAGCAGCCAGCACAAUAGGAGAAGCACAGUUUCGAGGUUCUACAGCCUAACACUUGAGUGUGCGGUUCUGUGCAGACAGACAAUGAAGUUCAGGGCUGCAGGCCGCAGAUCUAAAGGCUGAUCCUGGGUCAGACACGAUCUGCCUAAAUGACCCUGGCAAAUUAUCUGGUCUCUUGUGCCUGUAACUACAUCUAUAAAACGUCAGAAAUAUUGACCUGUCCCCAAGUAGGUGAACUUUAAGAAACAGGCUUUGGAAAUCUUGGGAAGAAUGAUUUAAAAGUACCGCUUCCUGCUGGUGACCCAACCUAAGCAUAGUGUGUGGAGGAAUGCAAACGAUCAGCCUUUCCCAUGCAGUCGGCCGCACUGAAGUACUGUGGGUGACGAAAAUGGAUCUGUUGCCUAAGCUGGGUGUGGAAAAACCACGUGCCAGGCUGGAAAUCGAUGAAUUCACACCUUCUCUCUCGCUCCCUCAAGUUGGGCUGUGAUAUGAAUGACCUUUCCUAGAAGCAAAAGGAGGAAGAUGGAGUGUGACCACAGCGUCUGCUGAAUGUCAUUGAGAUGGUCACAUUCUCACUGACAGAUGGAGACUUGGGCAAAAGACCACUGAGGUGUGCACCUUCCUACCACCUUUGAACAGAACUCCCUCUGCUCUCGUCUCUGCAGCUAUAAGGUUUUCUCCCACCACAUGGAAAGGUGGCAGAAAGCCACAAUUCUGGAAAGAUGAGUGUUGUUCUAGAAAACUACCCUGACAUGCAACAGGCUCGUCAGCCCCAUGGAUGAGAUGUUUUGAAUUUCUUUCCUCUCCAUUUCUACUAUCUUCCUAUUUUUCGUGUAACUAACCUCUAAACCUCUCCUUGGCGAUCAGGCCUCCCUUCUGAUCCAGGUCUCUGCGCCUACUUGCAGCUCCCCACAUGCACCAGCUGUGUUCUUGUCUUCUUUUCAGAAAUCUCCUCUUGCGGGGUUGUUCAGGGCCCAUCUCUGUGUACAGGCCACCGCGUGUCUACCUCACAUCACCCUGUACGAUUAGUGCUGACUUAUCUUGCCCGCUGGACUGUGAGCUCCCAGAGGCAAGAACAGAUUCCCUCACCUCUUUAUCCUCAUCCAGGCUGUGUGGCCCAUGGGCCUCCUUCCCCACCCAUGAACACCGUCCAUUUUGCAGGACAGAUAUGAGCUCCCAGGUAAAACACUACAAAUGGGUGAGCGCAAAUCCCAUAGUCCCCACUUGGAAAAGGAAGGACUGAUCAUAACAAUUUUUAUAGUUUCUCUUUUUAUGGAAAGUCCC
rnacentral:lncRNA from 1 species